rnacentral:rRNA from 1 species
UUCAGCAGCCAUAUCAGCCUGCAACUCUCAACUGGCAGCCCACUGAAGCUCAGCAGGUGUGAGCCUGGUUAGUACCUGGAUGGGAGACUCCUGGGAAAAACUAAGGUUGCUGCUGGAA